rnacentral:rRNA from 1 species
GACGAACUGUCCUAACGUUGUUCGGAAUCACUGGGCUUAAAGGGCGCGUAGGCGGUCCGACAAGUCAGGGGUGAAAUCCUGCAGCUUAACUGCAGAAGUGCCUUUGAUACUGUCGGUCUUGAGGGAGAUAGGGGUGUGCGGAACUCACAGUGGAGCGGUGAAAUGCGUUGAUAUUGUGAGGAACGCCGGAGGCGAAAGCGGCGCACUGGAUCUCUUCUGACGCUGAGGCGCGAAAGCCAGGGGAGCAAACGGGG